rnacentral:rRNA from 1 species
AGUAACACGUAAGUAACCUACCUCUAAAUCUGGAAUAACUCUGCCAACGCGGAGCUAAUACCGGAUGUGGUCACGAUGCUGCAUGGUAUUGUGACUAAAGGUGACCUCUCCUUGGAAGUUACCGUUUAGAGAUGGGCUUGCGGACCAUUAGCUAGUUGGUGAGGUAACGGCUCACCAAGGCUACGAUGGAUAGCCGGCCUAAGAGGGUGAUCGGCCACAUUGGGACUGAGAUACGGCCCAGACUCCUACGGGAGGCAGCAGUAGGGAAUUUUGCGCAAUGGACGAAAGUCUGACGCAGCAACGCCGCGUGAGGGAUGACGGCCUUCGGGUUGUAAACCUCUGUUGAGUGGGAAGAAAAGCUUUGUGGUUAAUAUCCACAGAGUCUGACGGUACCACUCGAGGAAGCUCCGGCUAACUACGUGCCAGCAGCCGCGGUAAUACGUAGGGGGCUAGCGUUGUUCGGAAUCACUGGGCGUAAAGGGAGUGUAGGCGGACCGGUAAGUUAGGAGUUAAAUGUACGGGCUCAACCCGUGAUCUGCUUUUAAUACUGUCGGUCUUGAGUAUGGGAGAGGGAGAUGGAAUUCCAGGUGUAGCGGUGGAAUGCGUAGAUAUCUGGAAGAACACCAGUUGCGAAGGCGGUCUCCUGGACCAAUACUGACGCUGAUGCUCGAAAGCUGGGGGAGCGAACAGGAUUAGAUACCCUGGUAGUCCCAGCCGUAAACGAUGGACACUAGUUGCCGGAGGAGUCAAUCCCUUCGGUGACGAAGCUAACGCAUUAAGUGUCCCGCCUGGGGAGUACGCUCGCAAGGGUGAAACUCAAAGGAAUUGACGGGGGCCCGCACAAGCGGUGGAGCAUGUGCUUUAAUUCGAUGCAACGCGAAGAACCUUACCUGGGUUUGACAUGGGGGUGAAAGUUUCCAGAGAUGGAAGCCUUUCCUUCGGGAACACCCCACACAGGUGCUGCAUGGUUGUCGUCAGCUCGUGUCGUGAGAUGUUGGGUUAA